rnacentral:misc_RNA from 1 species
GUCAUGCAUUGGCAAUACUCCCAACUUUCCUCCCAAAAAAUAAUAUCAUAGAUGUCACAUGAAUGGCGACCAACCUGCAAAUAUCCAUUCAACUAGCAAAAGAUGCUCCAAUGCUAUUUUUUCAAGAAGCAAUAUGAUUUCAAUUGCUCCUUUAACAACAGAAAUGUACACCAUGCAUGCAGUAAACAUGCAAGAUGGAAGCUGAUGCAUACAUUUUAUAUCAUCA